GCGUCACCUGACAGUCUAUUGGUCUUAUGGUCUAGUGGUCAUGACUGUGGAUUUUGAUUCUUAUUCGAAAUUCUUCCACCGACCCCGGUUCGAUCCCGGGUAAGACCUC